GCUUUCCUUAAGUUUGUAGAGCACAAGGCUCUUAACCUUGUGGUCGUGGGUUCGAGCCCCGCGGUGGGCG
rnacentral:tRNA from 1 species